rnacentral:rRNA from 1 species
GACGUAGGGCGCAAGCGUUGUCCGGAUUUAUUGGGCGUAAAGAGCUCGUAGGCGGCCUGUCGCGUCGACCGUGAAAACUCACAGCUUAACUGUGGGCGUGCGGGCGAUACGGGCAGACUGGAGUACUGCAGGGGAGACUGGAAUUCCUGGUGUAGCGGUGGAAUGCGCAGAUAUCAGGAGGAACACCGGUGGCGAAGGCGGGUCUCUGGGCAGUAACUGACGCUGAGGCGCGAAAGCGUGGGGAGCAAACAGG